CAUCACUGAAAUCUUCCUCAGCUUUAUCUACUUCUUCAUCUUCAUCUUCUUUCUUUUCCUUUUCACCUUUUUCCUCUUGUCCCUGGAGAUAUCAGAUAACCACACAAAGAAUCUGUUGGAACUAAGUUCACAAGGCAGACAUAAUAAAAGCCCCAGACUUUGAAGUCCAAUGCCAAAAGAAAAAAAGAAUCAACAUUAGGG
rnacentral:misc_RNA from 1 species